rnacentral:rRNA from 1 species
AUUUAACGCUGGCGGCAGGCCUAACACCUUCAAGUCGCGCGGCGCGGCGGACGGGUGAGUAAUGCCUAGGAAUCUGCCUGGUAGUGGGGGAUCACGUCCGUAAACGGGCGCUAAUACCGCAUACUAUCAGAUGAGCCUAGGUCGGCUUGGCUAGUUGGUGGGGGAAAGGCCUACCACGGCGACGAUCCGUAACUGGUCUGAGAGGAUGAUCCUUCACACUGGAACUGAGACACGGUCAAGACUCCUACGUGAGGCAGCAGUGGGGAAUAUUGGACAAUGGGCGAAAGCCUGAGCCAGCCAUGCCGCGUGUGUGCAGAAGGUCUUCGGAUUGGAAAGCACUUUAAGUUGGGAGGCGUUACCAACAGAAUAAGCACCGGCUAACUUCGUGCCAGCAGCCGCGGUAAUAC